AUUGAACGCUGGCGGCAGGCCUAACACAUGCAAGUCGAGCGAGCGGCGGACGGGUGAGUAAUGUAUGGGGCCUGCCCGAUAGAGGGGGAUAACUACUGGAAACGGUGGCUAAUACCGCAUACUAUCGGAUAACCCAUAUGGGAUUAGCUAGUAGGUGGGGUAAAGGCUCACCUAGGCGACGAUCUCUAGCUGGUCUGAGCGGGUGAGCGGCGCAACGGCGACGUAGACAGGGCCCAGACUCCUACGGAGGAAGCAGGGGGUAAUAUUGCACAAGGGGCGCAAGCCGAAUGCACCCAUGCCGCGUGUGUUAAGAGGGCCUUAGGUUUGUAAAUUACUUUCAGCGGGGCGGCGUUACCCGCAUAAGAAGCAACGGCUAACUCCGUGCCAGCAGCCGCGGUAAUAC
rnacentral:rRNA from 1 species